rnacentral:lncRNA from 1 species
ACUUUGUCGUUCGUCGUUAAUUCGAUGGAUGUUUAAGUAUCGCACUUUGUCGUUCAUUGUGAGAAUUUGAUCUCGUGAGUUCAUCGUAAAUGCUGUAUUAGUUAAUUACCUAGUUUCGUGUGCAUUAUUAUUUAAAUUAGGUUAUCAGGCUUAUCCAUAGGAUAAACACUACCCCAUACACUUACAAUCAAAAUAGAUACCAGUUCUCAGAAGAAUCUGAAUCAUGAAGCUUGUUAAUUCAAUACUGCAUGCUUAUAAUCCAGUAUGUGGGGUAUUGUGCACAUUACUACUGUUGUUAUCACUUUAGGUGGGCGAACCUAAAAUUAAGUGAUAUACAUCAUUCAUUGGGGCAGCCAAUGGUGAUAUGACCACAGUCACAGAUCCGGUCGAGUGACAAAUACUGUGGGUAGUUGGUAGAUAUCAGAAACAUAUGUAAUUACAGUAGAUUGGAGUAAGGAUUGGAUCCGGCACUAAAAGACUUCAAGAAGUGGCUUAUUUUAUUAAUUAAAUCAAAUUAAGAAAUAUUGUUUUUAUUAAAAGCUACCUUUGUAACAAUGGAAUUUAUUCCAUCUAUUUAAAUAAAAUCCGGUGUUUCUAAACUCUGAUAUUUUUCCUAACUCACGGUCCUGAUAAAAUUUCCGCUGCAAUAUUUUUCAAAAUAACUCACCGGUACCACUGGACUGCUCGCGGCUCCCGAUUCCGUCCAGGAUGGGGUCAGGGGUCGUGACAGAAGCAAAUAAGCUAAGUCUUCUAGAAAAUGUACGCCCACUAAGUACUCGACUCUACAUGGUCCUCCUAUUCCAACCGUGCCAUAAUUUCUGAAAUGCAACCUGAGAAAGAAACAUGCGAAAAAUCAACAUAAAGUUGAGUGAGUUCAUAGUUCGUUUGUAAAAGAUUUGAAAUAAAUCUUUUUGAAUAACCGGUUUUUGUUGUAUUGUUGAGAAAACGAAUUUAAAAUCAUUUUCUUGUCAAAUUAUAUGGAAACUUGGUAUGAAAACAUGGUAUGUAUCUUGUAUAAAUCAUGUAUUCUUAUAUAAAUCAUAUAUUUCUGUA